rnacentral:rRNA from 1 species
CGUAGGGGGCAAGCGUUGUCCGGAUUUAUUGGGCGUAAAGCGCUCGCAGGUGGUUCGUCGCGUCGUGCGUGAAAGACCCCGGCUCAACUGGGGAGGGUCGUGCGAUACGGGCGGACUGGAGGCCAGUAGGGGGGAUGCGGAAUUCCGGGUGUAGUGGUGGAAUGCGUAGAGAUCCGGAGGAACACCAGCGGCGAAGGCGGCAUCCUGGACUGGUCCUGACACUCAGGAGCGAAAGCGUGGGGAGCGAUCCGGAUUAGAUACCCGGGUAGUCCACGCUGUAAACGAUGCGCACUAGGUGUCGGGGGUAUCGACCCCCUCGGUGCCGCAGCUAACGCGAUAAGUGCGCCGCCUGGGGACUACGGCCGCAAGGCUA